rnacentral:lncRNA from 1 species
CAUUUUGGAAAUGUUACAUGGACAAUACUAUCCCAUUUUGGAAAUGUUACAUGAACAAUACUAUCCCAUUUUGGAAACGUUACAUGUCCGCCCCCUUGUGGAGGGAAAUUAAUAUCUUAGAUGGUACAGAACAUGGACACAAUGCAAUUGGGAUCAAGAAGAAGGUACAGAUAUGUUGUAGGACAGCUGCAUUUGAAGUGUACAUUUAACCUACAUAGCAGUCAACACAAACUGACAUCUAUUAGCGUACAAAUGUGUGCAAAUGAUCUUUUCAGAUCUUGUCAGAAAUGAAUCAAGUCCAUGGAAUGGAUAUAGACAAAAAGAUAAUUCAAGGACUAUCAGAGGUUGAGAGGCGAGGCAGGGGUGAGGACAUCAUCCUGCUAUUUUGACAGUCCCUGAAGGACAAUACAGAAGAGGUAUCUGCUCUUAUUCCUUCCCUUUCUCUAAUGUAUUUUGUAAUGAAAUUAGCAAGUGUAGUAAGAUCAUUGCUUUACUUUACUAGGACUGGAGACCACAGCAGCGAUUCUGCUCUUGCCCAACCUCUUCAAUGAGGACACGAGUGGCCUUUAUGUCCAUGACAAGAUUUCACCGCUCUUCACUCCUUUACUGCACAUCGGUGGAAAUCCAUUUCACCAUGAGAGUGAAAUCCCGCUGGCCUUUGAUGGGGAGAACAUCCAGGCCCUCGAGGACGUCCCCAUGGGACUUGAGGCUCUGCUACGACUGGAUUUUUAUUUUCUGUAAAAUUUCCCCAAAAUGUCAGAAAAACACUUAUGUUGUUAAGUUACUGUGUUCUGGGGAUCAGAGAAGUUGGGGUGAAGUUACCAGGGCCGGUCAUAAAGAUGGAAAACUUCCUAACAUAACUAAGUGGAUAUGAUAUACACACUAAAGCUGAAACAUCUGUAUUUAGCAUCAAGUCUACAAUAUUGUUAGUUUACCUAUGAUUCAUUUUUUAUGUUUUUAUUGUACAUCAUUAUUAUUGUUGCAAUAUUGUAAUGUGUUUUGUUUGGUAAAUUGUUUUGUAAAUAUUAAUUCAUAUUUGUGGUGGCACUAAAU